rnacentral:misc_RNA from 1 species
GAUGAAGAACGUAGCGAAAUGCGAUAACUAAUGUGAAUUGCAGAAUUCAGUGAAUCAUCGAGUCUUUGAACGCACAUUGCGCCCCCUGGUAUUCCGGGGGGCAUGCCUGUCCGAGCGUCAUUGCUGCCCUCAAGCCCGGCUUGUGUGUUGGGUCGCCGUCCCCCUCUCCGGGGGGACGGGCCCGAAAGGCAGCGGCGGCACCGCGUCCGAUCCUCGAGCGUAUGGGGCUUUGUCACAUGCUCUGUAGGAUUGGCCGGCGCCUGCCGACGUUUUCCAACCAUUCUUUCCAGGUUGACCUCGGAUCAGGUAGGGAUACCCGCUGAACUUAAGCAUAUCAAAAGCGGAGGA